UACAGAGGGUGCGAGCGUUAAUCGGAAUUACUGGGCGUAAAGCGCACGUAGGCGGCUUGGUAUGUCGGGUGUGAAAUCCCCGGGCUCAACCUGGGAACUGCAUCCGAAACUGCCUUGCUCGAGUAUGGGAGAGGGAAGUGGAAUUUCCAGUGUAGCGGUGAAAUGCGUAGAUAUCGGAAGGAACAUCAGUGGCGAAGGCGACUUCCUGGACCAAUACUGACGCUCAGGUGCGAAAGCGUGGGGAGCAAACAGG
rnacentral:rRNA from 1 species